AAUCAACGCUGGCGGCGUGCCUCAGACAUGCAAGUCGAACGCGAAAGUCCCCUUCGGGGGACAAGUAGAGUGGCGCACGGGUGAGUAACACGUAGGUAAUCUACCUUCGGAUGGGGAAUAACAACCGGAAACGGUUGCUAAUACCGCAUAAUGCAGCGGCACCUAAUGGUGACAGUUGUUAAAGCGGGGGAUUGAAAGACCUCGCGUCUGAAGAGGAGCCUGCGGCGGAUUAGCUUGNGGUAGGGUAACGGCCUACCAAGGCGACGAUCCGUAGCCGGCCUGAGAGGGCGGUCGGCCACACUGACACUGACAUACGGGUCAGACUCCUACGGGAGGCAGCAGUCGGGAAUUUUGGGCAAUGGGCGAAAGCCUGACCCAGCAACGCCGCGUGAAGGAUGAAAUCCCUCGGGAUGUAAACUUCG
rnacentral:rRNA from 1 species